CUGGUGGGUAGUUUGACUGGGGCGGUCUCCUCCUAAAGAGUAACGGAGGAGCACGAAGGUUGGCUAAUCCUGGUCGGACAUCAGGAGGUUAGUGCAAUGGCAUAAGCCAGCUUGACUGCGAGCGUGACGGCGCGAGCAGGUGCGAAAGCAGGUCAUAGUGAUCCGGUGGUUCUGAAUGGAAGGGCCAUCGCUCAACGGAUAAAAGGUACUCCGGGGAUAACAGGCUGAUACCGCCCAAGAGUUCAUAUCGACGGCGGUGUUUGGCACCUCGAUGUCGGCUCAUCACAUCCUGGGGCUGAAGUAGGUCCCAAGGGUAUGGCUGUUCGCCAUUUAAAGUGGUACGCGAGCUGGGUUUAGAACGUCGUGAGACAGUUCGGUCCCUAUCUGCCGUGGGCGCUGGAGAAUUGAGGGGGGCUGCUCCUAGUACGAGAGGACCGGAGUGGACGCAUCACUGGUGUUCGGGUUGUCAUGCCAAUGGCACUGCCCGGUAGCUAAAUGCGGAAGAGAUAAGUGCUGAAAGCAUCUAAGCACGAAACUUGCCCCGAGAUGAGUUCUCCCUGACUCCUUGAGAGUCCUGAAGGAACGUUGAAGACGACGACGUUGAUAGGCCGGGUGUGUAAGCGCAGCGAUGCGUUGAGCUAACCGGUACUAAUGAACCGUGAGGCUUAACCUUACAACGCCGAAG
rnacentral:rRNA from 1 species